rnacentral:lncRNA from 1 species
UACUGUCUAACGGUGAAGAGAGCGAUAAUUUUCUAGUCAUUUCUGAAAAAAAAAUAAUUAAUCUAUCCGUAUAUAAACUAUUUUAAGCUUAAAGAUUUGGACUUUAGUCUAAAGAUUCUCUCACUAUUUUAUACGAAUUGGUAGUCUCUAUCUCCAAUUCGAAAAAUUAUCUUAAUUCUUUAGCGGGUAUUAGAAUCCACAU